rnacentral:lncRNA from 1 species
UCCCCUCCUCCCUUUCACUUAACCCGAUUCCUCACCUCUAACCCGAUAAAACAAUAACAAACAAUGGCUUCAAUUUCAAUAGCUUCAGCUGUGUACAACAACACUCCAACAACAACAAAACCAUCGAACAACAGCUUCAAUCAAUGUACAACCUGAUACCAACCCGUCAACCCAACUUCACCAAUGACAAAACCCGAUAUCAACAGGUCAAGUGACCCAACAAAAAUUCAAAACCUAAAAAUUCUCAAUUCGUACCAUUAUUGUACGAAUCCUGCUAAUCCCAAACUUAUCCCAUUCUUGAAUUCAAAUUUCCACAUAGAAAUUUUUGAAAUUACCCUGGAUUUCUUUGACUCAAACAUCAAAAAUCUAUUCCCAAAGCCCUCAAUUGCAUUUCUAUAAAUACGGGGUAGUCAUUGUCAGGAAAAAACCCCAUUGUAAAGGAUUUUUCCGUUAGUAAAGGUUUUCAAAACCAAAAGGUCCUAUAAGACUCCUUGAGCUUAGAUUUUGGGAAAGGAAACACAAAGCUUCCCGACGGUGGUGAAGCGAUCCCGAUCAAAGCUCGUCGUCUCGAUUUUGCUACCCCAAAAAAGGUAAACUCACCCUUUUUUCCCAUUCGUUAGUUAUUUCGUCUUCUUCAUCUUCUUUUUAUGAGUAGCAGUUUGUCGUAAUCGUAGUUAUGAUGGGACUAUGUGUUAUAUAAACCUAGGUUUUUAUUUUUGUUGUUUCAUUGGUGUAAAUACAUCCUGUUUUGUUAAUGUUAUUUUCCAUCGAUUUAUUAUGUAGUUGUUAGAAUAAUGGUUUUGUUGCUGUAGAUUUUGGUUUCUUCUUCCUUUCUUUGUAUUAAAUCCUUGUUUUGUGAUGUUUGAUAGAAAAGGUUCAUUGGAAUUGAAAAGAGAAUGCUUUGAAUUGGUUUAAGUAUGGUACUAUCUUUUUAUUACAAAUCCGACCUUUAUUGGUUCAUGAAUUUAAAAAUCUAUUAUUUCUCUUUUCCUUCAAAAGUUGUCUUUUGGAGUCUAUUAUUAUCGUUUUGUGUCGAUUCUUCUUUUGAAUUUUCUUUCGAGUAUGAGUUCUAAUCACUCUAUCUCACUGUUAUGAUUUCAUGUUUUUAUUUUCUCUUUUAUUUGAUUAUUUAGAAUCCACAUUCACGAUAUUACUCAUUAGUACUACUUUUGUUUGUCUCAUGUUGGCCUGUGUCUAGAAAAUGCUACAAUAGUUGAUAAAAGACUCAAGUUUAAAAUACGAGAUUUUCAUCCAUUUCUUGUGUUGUGUAACCAAAAGGCUAAAUAGAAAAUGACCUCAUUGAUUAAGAAACAGAAACUCUAGAACUGGAAUUUGGUUUCUGUCUAGUUUAACUCUGUACUGCUGCAAUUUUUGUUGGAUAAUAUUGCACUAGGACGAGUGUAAAUUGAGUGAUAUGGAUAUUGAGUAGUCAUAUAGUUGAUUCAAACUUGUCUGGAAUUAAGACAUAGUAUAAAUUAUCUGGAAUUGUUAUAUGUAAUCUGUUUCAUUCGUGUUUUACUGUUUUGCUUCUAAUUUUUAUAUGGAUUAAGCUCUUAAUGCCUAUUUUUAUGGAUUAGUUCAUAGGUUGAAAUAUGUUGCGAUAUUGUGAACUAGUGCUGGGAUGGUUGAGGCUGCCAUUGUGUUCUUUUUCCGUUUGCUUUCUUAGAUUCAUCACCUUAUAUAUCAAAGUAGUUCCUCUAAAGUAGACAAACUUUUAUCGGUCAAGAGAUAACCGUUUACUGCUUCCUUUUCCGUAAUUAAAAGUUGUCUGUGAGGUUAAAACUGUUAAUGUGUAUUCGUAAUCCAACAGGCGUUUCAUUAUUUCUCAAUACUAAAUGAGGACCUAUUGAGCAAAAAAAUUAGCUUACUUUUGGGGUUUUUUUUAGCAAUCCCUGGAAAGUGAGUUCAGAAGAAUGAAAAUUCAUCUUAUAAUUUUGGUGCAUCCUAGGACCAUUUAGUUUAACUAUUCUUGUUUGAAUUUCUGGUUGAGAUGUUGUAAACAUUCCUUCAAGUAUUCGAAUUUAUGGUAACACGACAUUUUAUUUAUUUAUUUAUUUUUAUUUUUAUUUAUUUAUGUAUGUAUUUUGCUGUUGUUUUGUUUUGUUUUGACAGUAUUGUUAAUUUGUUUGUUUAAGCCAACUGCACUUUGACACAUUUUCAGCUUUGAUAUAUCAAAUGAUGUUAUACUUAGUUUUACUUUGUAGAUUAAGGAUUUACUAACAUUUUAUUUACAAUUACUAUUCAAAAAUUUUAGUGUCUUGAUUCAUGGAAGAUGAAGUUAGAAUGAGUAUUUUGAUCUAAUUUACUUUCUAUACUUUCUAUACAUGAAUGGGUAACUAAUUUUUCUCUCGUGUUUGCAUGUGAAACCAAUUUCAAUCAAUUCGGACUCCUCGCUCUCUCGCUUCUAUCAUCCUUGAGUUAAAAGUCUCAUACAAGUCCACAAUGGACUAAUACAUGAAGAAACAGGACUGAUAUAUACGCAGAUAUACAGUAGUAUACAGCAGUGAAUGAAGGGAAGGAAUGAAGACACCAAUUUUAUACGCUGAUAUACAGUGUUGUAUACAAAAACGCAGCAGCAACAACGUUGAUAUACAGUCAGUAUACAGCUGAUAUACAGAGAUGAAAAUGGACCAAAGUCCAUAAAAGGUAAGGCCCAAAACCUGGGCAGAUUUGAAAAUGGGCUAGAAAGGGGCUCAAAUCUCAUCUUUCUCCUUUAUUUAUUUGUAUUUAAUUUGAUUAUUUGUUUGUAAUUUUAUCUAAUUUAGAUGAAUCCUCAGGGAGCAAGUUUACAUUAAGAUUAUUCAUUUUAUUUAUUAAUUUUUUUAUUUCCACAAAACAGCUGCAGCUCCCAUGUUUUUCCCCCCUAUUGAAACAAACAAUUUUCCCCUUUACUGAGCAUAAAGAAGAGGCUAGAGCAUCAAUGCUUUCUAAAAUAUAUUUAUGAAGAGCACAUAUAAGGUAAAUGUAACCAACUAACGUUCACGAAACCCACGACUACUGCCCCUUGACCGGCUGAUGUUGGCGACGGCGUCGGAGGGUCGGUAACAGGCAAUAAUAACCCUCACUCCCUCUUUCUUUUUCCCCAGUUCUCUUUACCCUCUUCUCUCUCCCAUUCCCUGUGCCUCUCCGUCGUUCGAACCACUUGUUGCUUUCGUCGGCGAUCAAAGUCGCCGUUGGCUAGACUCCGGUGACACAGAUAGUGCGCAGCUUUGGUCACACGCGAUCGAUUCGACGGGUCCAUCUGAUGGUACUGUUGAUUUCGAACAGAUCUGAUUCCCAUAAGUUUUGAUUUCGGAGGCACUCCGGUGAAGCUCCGGUCAUAAUACCAAGCGUAACUCGGUGACUUCUAACCUUUGCUAUUUCAUUCUUCGUAUAAAUUCUAGUUUUAUCUUCUGUAUCUUGACUUGCGCUUAAUUUGCUGGGAUUGUCUGUUGUUGUGUAUUUUCGGUUUAAUCCAUUGCUUGACUUAGUUAUAAUUUGUGGGUUUGACAUUUUCUUUAUUAUUACAUAUAAUGUGCUUGUGCCUUGUAUUUUCUUCUGUUG